rnacentral:rRNA from 1 species
UACGGGGGGGGCAAGCGUUGUUCGGAAUUACUGGGCGUAAAGGGCUCGUAGGCGGCCAACUAAGUCGGAUGUGAAAUCCCCAGGCUCAACCUGGGAACUGCAUCCGAUACUGGAUGGCUUGAAUUCGGGAGAGGGAUGCAGAAUUCCAGGUGUAGCGGUGAAAUGCGUAGAUAUCUGGAGGAAUACCGGUGGCGAAGGCGGCUGCCUGGUCCUACAUUGACGCUGAGAUACGAAAGCGUGGGGAGCAAACAGG